ensembl:ncRNA lncRNA:CR45003 long non-coding RNA:CR45003
UCGUAUUGAAAAAAGAUUUUAAUGAUCAAAAAUCCUAUCAGAAUAUGCAUAUCUUAUGCGACACUCAAGGCGAUUUCUCUUGACUGUCUUGCAGCAGAGAAAACGGAGGGCGGCAGCGGCAACUCACCUGGCGAAAGUUUUGCCGCAAAAAGCGCAAGGAAAACUGGCGGGACGGGCAGCGAAUUCUCGAUUCCGGAUUCAGGCUGCGAAUGCGGGUGGGAAUGCGGAUACGGAAAUGGGUAUAAGGAUGGCAUAUUUUCAUUUGAAAAGCAAGCUGCGUCUGAUUACAUCAUAAGAAAUGCGUAAUAAUUGCGUUAACAUAACGGCCUGCGAGAUGGGAACCAACAGCAGCAGUAGCCGGGUAGCUGGAUAUCCGGAUGAGAUGGCGGAGCAACUCUUAACCAGGCCCAAGACAUCUCCAUUCCCUUGCUCCACCGCCAUCCCCAUCCUCGCAAAUGCCGCCGAGCACGCAAUGUGGGUGGUUGUGCAUAGCAUAUGGCAUAUAGCGUAUACACCAUAUAGCACUGUGAAAAGGCAUAAUAUAAAACUUCAUCAAAUUGUCUUUGCAGCUUUCUUUAACGUGCCAACUUCGAAUUAAAUUUACGCAACAAUUUCAAAUGGCGGAU